rnacentral:rRNA from 2 species
GGUUAAGCUACUAAGAGCACACGGAGGAUGCCUAGGCGCUAGGAGCCGAAGAAGGACGUGGCGAACAACGAUACUGCCUCGGGGAGCUGUAAGCAAGCUUUGAUCCGGGGAUGUCCGAAUGGGGAA